rnacentral:lncRNA from 1 species
GGUUUAGAUCAAUUGUUAAUAGAUGUUAGAAAAAAAGAGAUUAAGAAAAAUAAACAAAAUGGAUAUUUGUCAUUGUUGGAAAAAAUGUAGCAAUACUAAAUUAAAGUAGAUGAGAAGAUUGCAGGUAGAAGACUCAGAGUGUGAAUUCAAACUAGUAUUUAAGUUCAAUCCCGCCCCACUAAUUAUUUUAUAUCAGAUGUAAUUUGGAC